rnacentral:sRNA from 1 species
UGGGGAGAUGGCAAGUGGUACAUCUUCGUGCCUUAAAUCGUCAUAGUUCAAAGUCCAGUCGAUCUACAAACUUCACGUAUUGAACUUGCAUCCUUAUACUGUAUCCUCUUGUCUGCUCUUCCAAGGAGUCUUAUUCCCAUAUCCAAGCAAAGCAAUAUAUCGAAAUGGGCUUUGGCUAUCACAAACGUAUCACCAUCAUACCGAAAUUCUUGUAUCUCAACAUUAAUGGCAAGCGGGUCAACUUUUCAAUCGGAAGAGGUGGCUUGAACUACAACUUCUAAGCCCGAAACGAAUCGAUUUCCCCUUAUUUCUUAGCGUCUUUUUAAGUUGUACUGAGGUUUUGAGGUGUUGCCAACAAACAUAGACAUGCAAUUUGAUACUCUAUCCCAACUCGACAGGUCAUUAAUAUACCGAUAUUCAUGCUCCACUAUCGAACUCUGGCUACAGGUUACAACAGAUACUUCCUCCCACCCUUUCGGGGGGCUUAUAGUGCUUUGAGCUGGAGGCUUGACUACUUGUUGUCAUCUGAAAAGGGGAGGUUGAUGUAGGUCUUCUUGAGAGGGGAAGGAAGUUUGGCUACAGCUCGUUAGCAUGGGAAAUUCAGCAGACUCAUCUUGAGGGAUACUUACGCGCAUAGCUCAUACUCUUAUUUUUCGCCUCGGCAACAGCCAGUACUUUGGCAUAACUAUCAGCCUCAUCAAAACUUGGUGCGAAGGCAAAGUAUCACUUACACGCUUGUCUCUUAGCGCUGCUACUCGCAGUGCUCCUAUGCGCCGACAAGGCCUUGGGUUCCAUCGAUUUUCUUCUCUAUAAUGAUCAUUUAGUAUACUUCCCCAUCAAUAACCUUCGGCACACACCUUUUCAAAUAUAGGCUCCUCAUUCGGGUCCACAAGAUACUUGUUUUCUUCCAUCUUCUUACUGGCCUUUUUACUAUCCGUCACCCAUUUGAUGCUCACAAGUUUUGGUGGCUUGUCCUGUCGUCGGUACCAAUUCAGCGUCGCCGGUCGACCAGAUUUGUAAACAACAUGGGUGCAAGAGAGUGUUGGUCGGGUAAGAACCUUAUAAGAGAAUUUCAAAAUAUCGGAAAAGAACUGUGACGAAUCUGAUCCUUCACUUGUUCUCACGUCUACAAACGCCACCACGCCCUGGAAACACCUCACGCCCUUCGAUGAACUCAGCAUUUCCAAAAUAGAUUUUUCGCCGGUGGUGUCCGAUGAGACGGACGAGUCAGCAGGAUGAACUGCGCUUCGUACUCGAUGAUUGGCCAGAGGCGCCAUGGUCGUAGAGCUCGUUGAUGCUGAGAGAUUGUUUGUUUCCUUUUUAGAAACAUUUGGAGCUGGGCCCGUGACAGUGACUGAAGGAAUGGUCGGUUUUCGGGGUGGUUCAGCAGAAGCAGAUGCACCGGAAAGUCGUUUCUUUGACUUGAGCUUCUCCAAUGCCUCACUCAAACCGGCCAAGGAUUGAGAAGUCUCUAAUGACAUACCUUCUCGCCUAUUCGUACUCAAACUCAAUCUGAACGUUCGUGCAGGUUCAAGAAUAGGGACAGGGUCAGACACAGAUCGACUGCUUUCGAUUAUAGGAGGCUGGGACAUCUCAACCGCAGAAAACGAUUCUGAAACGGUAGCAGAAGAACGGAUGGGGUUAGAAACUACCCGUGCUGUAGGGCGAGCAAGAGGACCCGAGCCAAGGGAGGAAGGGUAAGAAGGUUGACGCUUGGCAGGCGACGACGGAGGCCCUCGAGUAGAUGAACCUUCACUACCCAUCAUUUCUGGUCGACCACCAGGUCGUCUCUCUGGAAGAGAGCCCAACCCUAAACCACUUGCCAUUUUCCUCGUUGUAGACGAGGGAAGGUGCACCCAUACCCAACAAAGAUCUACCGGACGAAGUUUUGUGCAAUUGAAUGUUGACAGCGGGUUGAGUUAUAGGGCAUUCUGGAGCCGCAGGAUCUGCCAUCUGUGCAGGGUCUGGUGUUGUGGAAAUGAUUUCGGUAGAGGAUGUGGAUAUAAUGUCGGAAGCUGGUUGCGCCUCAGAUUUUGCCUCAAGUGCAGGCUCAUCAACAUUGAUCUUGGUAUCGGGUUCGAUUUCGGUAACAGAAGGCACAUAUCGGGCCUCGCACGCACCACCAGCCUUCCUCAUUCCCGUCGUCAUGUCUACCCCAAGCACUGACUCAGUACUUGUAGUUUCUUCCGCCACAGCCAUAUCAAUAUCCACGUUCUCCGUUGUCUCGGCCGCUUCUUCAACUUUUUCAGCAGUGACAUUUUCCUUCGGAGCCUCAACGGCGCGUGGUUGUAUUUCCUGCUUGGCAGGAGUGGCUUUUAAUACUAAAGCAUCAAGUGACGCCUGCUCCUUAGCUACCCUGACGGCAAGAGCGAUUCGCCUAUUGGUCAAAGGAGAUGCUAUUUUGGGACGGUUAUUAGGGGUAAAUACCGAGACGGUUGGCGGUAUGCCAUCGGGUGUGGUCGAUACGCUGUAAGUGGUAAUGGCAGCUGUAGACUGAUUUUGAGACGCGCGGGGCGUGGAGAGGAAGGUAGAAAGUGGGUGGGCGGGAGAAGAUUUAAAGGUAUUGAUAAGAGAUGGUUGAGAACGGCCAGGAGUAGAUAGGAUUGAGGAAUGCAUCAGGGGUCGCCGGGGGGAAGCGAGGGAGACGGAAGCAUCAUUGGAACGAGGAGUAGGGCUUUUGGUAAUGGCGGCCAUUUGGUGAGGUCUCGGUGGUGUCGGUGGCCUCGCAAUAAACUUAGGAGAAUUCCCGAUAGUUGUGUCUUCAUCCCUUUUGAUUUCAAGGGGACGUUCACGCAUUCUCGGCGGUGUUGGCGAUCGCGCAACCACGGUAAAUAUGUUCGACUCUGCUUCGUUCGCUUCAUCAUCUCCUUGCUUGGCUUCGAGCAUACCCAUUCGCAAGAUUUCUCUUGCUGGCGUUGGAGGUGCGACGGUCUGGGUUUGCUCUGGAACUCGUUGUAGUGACACUAUUGGAGCCAGUGUAUGCCUUGUAUGGAGACUGUUGUUUGACCCUACGGUCUUUAGAGGCGGACCCAUCCUUCUCACAAGUCUUUCAUCCGCCUUCAGCAUUUUUCCUUUCCUUUGAUUCUCAUCCUCAUCUUCCAUUUUUCUCUUCCCAAUGAUCAUUUUCUUAUCCUCUAACACAUUCAUCUUUAAUGGGUUUUCCUUGAGGGGACCUCUACUUCUAAGACUCUUGUUGAAACCGGG